UUCCCGGUAGUAGAGGGGUUAGUAUAUGAGCUUGUCAAAUACGGUAAUAUGCUCGGGAACCGGGUUCGACUCCUGGCCGGGGGG